UACGUAGGGGGCAAGCGUUGUCCGGAUUUAUUGGGCGUAAAGAGCUCGUAGGCGGCUUGUCACGUCGAUUGUGAAAGCCCGAGGCUUAACCUCGGGUCUGCAGUCGAUACGGGCUAGCUAGAGUGUGGUAGGGGAGAUCGGAAUUCCUGGUGUAGCGGUGAAAUGCGCAGAUAUCAGGAGGAACACCGGUGGCGAAGGCGGAUCUCUGGGCCAUUGACUGACGCUGGAGGAGCGAAAGCGUGGGGAGCGAACAGG
rnacentral:rRNA from 1 species